ensembl:misc_RNA 7SK 7SK RNA
GAAUGUGAGGGUGAUCUAGCUGUGACUUUGUCACCCCAUUGAUCAUCAGGGUUCACUUGGCUGAUCUAGCUGGCUAACCAGGUCCCCUCCUCCCUCACUGAUCCAUGUUUCUCCAGAAGCUGUGUGCUUAGUCAAAUAGGAUGGCAUUCCCUAAAUAGAAACAGACUGGUCUUUGGCCUAGAGGAUAUGAGUAACUGCAUUCCCUUGCUAGAAGCUACAAGAAGUUCUCAAGAAUUUUUUUGUUGAAAAAGAAUAAAGAACAAUGAACCCACCUUCUCUGACCCAUCUUGGACAGA